AAGACCCGUGUGGGCGCGUGUCAAAGCUGUGCGGGCUCGGCCUCUUUUCCCUGAGAGUCGCGUUGCUUGAGCAUGCAGCGCUAAGCAGGUCGUAAACUCGAUCUAAGGCUAAAUAUCUCCACAGAACCGAUAGCGAACAAGUACCGUGAGGGAAAGUUGAAAAGCACUCUGGAGAGAGAGUCAAAAGACCGUGAAACCGCUCAGAGUAUAAGCCCAUGGCAGCUUGGAAGGCAUAUCGCUAGCGGGGCAUCGGUCUCCCUUCACGGGGAGCUGGUGUUACCUUGCUUCUGUUGUGGCUCGUUAUGGUAGGGGGGUCAAGUCCACAUCCCGCCGUCGUGUGGGGAGUUCUCGGGCGUGUCGUUGCUUUGCGGUUGACUUCGGUUGGCCGUAGGGCUCUUCGCGCUUGGUUCUCCUUUGGACACGGACGUUCAGACUCAGUUGCAAGACGCGAUAACCAGCCCACCACGGCACGUUGUGAGGUCACCCACAGGCUUGGCUUUCGAUUGUGGUCCUUGACGCCGAGCAAGCACAAUGCGUGUCGCAGAUGUUCCUAACCGGGCAAUGGGCCAGGAUCGUGGAACGACACGCGCUCAAAAGUCAGGACCGGGCGAUGACAAAGUUCUGGUAUGAUCCUCAUGCGACGAGCCGGCUUCUGGCCGAUUCCGAUGCUCAGGUCUCCCGCAUGUGCCGCGGGAGAUCGCUUUGGCGGUCUGGAUCUCAAAGAGUCCUCUCAGCCGGGCAACGGAAAGAGUGGUGUAAAGUCCAAGCCCAUCGGUCACGUCUCGAAACACGGGCCAAGGAGUAUAGCAUGUGUGCAAGUCUAAGAGUCUCACAAAACUCGAAGGCGAAGUGAAAGCAAGUAAGCGGCGGGUGAUCUACGGAGAGAUCCCGUCAGCUAGAGGGGCCCUUCGGGGUCUCUCCGGCUUUGGCAGAGUUGAUCCUGCAGCGGUACCGCAUACGUACGCUCAGGCGCAAACUCCAGGUUU
rnacentral:rRNA from 1 species